CCAAAACCACAGACCCAGAAAGUACCGAAUGAAAAUCACGAGCCUUGGAAGCGGGAAGACUGUGGCGUUAAGAGUUCAGCCCUCCCUGCGCAGUCCCUUCACCAAGUCAAAGAGCAUCAUGGAGCAAGUCGGAAGCUUUUGGUCACUGUGUCGGAAACCUGAGAGGAAACAAAGGGGAGGAAGAUGCAUCUAGGCUCAUGGUUUCAGAGGCUUCCAUCAGAGUUGGCUCCUCUGAUCUGAGCGAGCGUGGUGGAGUUGACCUUACGGAAAGGCAUGGGAACAAGACGUGUCUUUCCAACACCAGCUCUUAGUGAAUUAGUUACUCCAACUGCCUUCCCCUCCUUUGUACCAUCUCCCAAUGUUAUGAUUCGCUCAUAUC
rnacentral:lncRNA from 1 species